rnacentral:lncRNA from 1 species
UCUCAUUUUUGAGGAAUGCUUUAAAAAAGCAAGUACUUUAGUCCAGACCAAAAAAAAAAAAAAAAAAGUAGAAAAGAAAAUAUUAAUAAUAAUGUAUAAGUUGAAAUCUUGGCCCUAAUAAAAAAUAUUAACUAGUAAGGGAGAUAUUUUGCAUUAAUUAUAAUAUCUAUGAUACAGAGAGUGCCUUGGUAUUUUAAAACCUUUUCUACAAUGUUUAUUAAGUGUUUGAUGGCUAUAUUUGUAGGGGACCAAAAUUUUCUGCUGCAAAUGGUGUCUCUUUGGCAGAAGGAUUGAUUUAGGCUGAUUUCUUUUUUUUCUUUUUUCUUUUUUUUCUUUUGGUUGCACCAACAGAAGUUUGCAGGCCAGCGAUUGAACCCUUGGCAUAGCUGUAACCAGAGCCACAUCAGUGACAAUGCCAGGUCCUUAACCAGCUGAGCCAUGAGGGAAUGCCAUAGGUUGAUUAUUUUCAAGACUCAAAAGACUCAGGAAGAAGCUUUGAUCUUUCCCCUGACUACGUAAAAAAUGUAGAGUCCUCUUCUAGGAAGAAGUUAUGGCAUUAGAUCACUAGUUUAUGACAUAGGCGUGGUAGACAGGGAGGGAUCUCGCAAAGAGAGUUACAAUUCCUUUCUGUGUCUCAUUGUCUCUGCCUGGCCCAGAAAAUAUUUCCAGAAGAACCUGGAAGGGUAGAGGAAAAUUUCAUCCUUCUCCAGAGAUUGAAUUAAGGAAUUCUCUUUACUAUCUAAUUUAAUUUAAAACAAUAUGUAAAUAUUCCAGAUACAUUGGUCAUACAUUUUCAUUCGAAGAAUGGAGUUUUGAAAGGUUACAUUUUCUUUUCCAAGUCUGUUUUAUUAUUGGCUCUUACCUUUCCUCUAAUUUGAGAGAUGGCUUUGGCAGGCAGAAAGAUGGCAAGUUGUAGAAUCCAUUGGCCUUGGCUUCAAACUUUUGUGCUUCAUCACCUGGCUUUGAGACCUCUGUUUCCUCAUCUGUCAUAUGGAUGCAUUCACAGCUAUCUUAGUACAUUUAAGUGGAGACAGGAGUUGAGAUCUCCUGCAAAGCAGCUUGUGCAGAACUCCAUGUGCUAUGAUCUUCACUUUACCUCGUGGCAUUUUCUCUUGCCAUUUAAGUCUCUCCCACACACUCAACAAGUGCAUGCAUUCGUCAGUAGAGCUGCUCAGGAGUUUGUGUUUUAAGUUAGAAUAUCAUUAGAAACCUCUAAAUGCUGUUUUGAUCAAUAAAAGAAGUCUCUCCUUUUGGUAGAUGAAGACCUCUCUGGCCGAGUGAAGUGUUGCUCAAAUUUAGAAGAAUGGAAAAAGAUCUAGUUCUCUAAAAGCCUAUCUUCUAGGACUGAACCAAGAGAGGGCAAGAAUGUGAAGUUAAUCCUGGGGCUGUAUUACCCAUAGCAAAGGGUUGCAAUUUAUUUGUACAUUCUGUGCUAUGAUGAAUGCCAGAUAUGGCUCUGCUCUCUUCUUAUUCUGUUGGCAAUAAUUUGCAUUUUUCUAGCGUUCUAGGGCUUAAUUUUCUCAAGAAGCUCAUUUUUAUUUUAAUGCAAGGAAUUUUAUGCUGAGCAUAAAUUUUUAAAUGACAGAGAUAGCAUCUUAUAUGUAUAUAACUUUUUUAUAGGGAUAUUAUCUAUUUCAUUGACACCACAUACUCAAAUUGUAAUAGAGAUCAGCAUUCCUAUUUUGUAAAGUGGAAAGCUGAAGCUGUCCAUAACUUCUCCAGUGUCCACACCAAUGCAAUUUUAUUUUGUGAAAACUGGAAAUGGACUGUUAGAAGGCUGGUGUUGGCUUUGUAAUUCUGCACACACACCUUCAUUUAAAAAAAAUGUUAUGUAAAGCAGUCGUCUCAUCACUUACAUUGUGUGGCAUUGCCAAAAUUAGAUAUAUUUGUAUCUUAUCCACAGAAGUCUUUUUGAGGAUAGGAUAUAACAUGUUGGAAAAUAUCAUUAUAAGCCAUUUCUUUCUAGAUCCAGCCAAAGGCAUGUUAAAAAAUUGGAUGGAACACAAGUUAUCUAACAGCCAUAUACUUCUUUGCACUUUGUGUGCUUUUUUUUUUCUUACAUUUGUGACUGUGUAUUAGUUAGGUGAGUAGCAGAGCUGUUGUAAGAGACACAACCCAACAUUUUAGUGUGUUUCCCUUAAAAAAAAAAUAUGUAUCUUAGAGUCACAAAUCCAACAUGGCUGUUACUGGUUGAUGGCUUUUCCUGAGUGUUGGGCAGACUCAGGCUCUUUCCAACUCAUGGCUCUGGCAUUUCUACAAGUCUCUGAGCCUUCUGCUGAAUCCACCGUCUCAGGAAGACAGAUGGGGAAAACAAGACAGCAUUAUGUGUGACAGAUCUUUAUGUGUCUGUCCUGAGAGACACCCCUACAGAAUUCAGUCCCAAGGCCCUGUAUAACUGCAAGAGAGUGGAUACCCAAUAAAUAAUUCUCGUAUACAAAAUGCAUAAAUUGUGAUAGCAGUGACGGUGCAAAGCAGAGGGAACCAUCCCAGAAGUGCCUACAGUCUAUGGACUUCCUGAUGUAUUACUGCCUUCAGACAGAAGCUGUGCAACUUGGCAGAUUCUAGAGUGAGAUAGCAAUUCCUUUCCCAGGUGGCUUGUCUUUGGGCAAGUGAUUUAACUCGUCCGAGCCUCAGGUGUUUAAUCUAUGAAAUAUCAAGAGAAGGAAAAUAAACAGUUAUUGGUCACAUGCUCUUCUCCAGAAACAGUGCUAUCUACAUAAUAGGAAAUAUUUACAAUCUCACUGCAUUCUCACAGCCACCCCAAGUACAGGGCCAUGCAGUAUAAAACUUGAAAAGGGGAGCUGUGGAGUUCGUUUCCCUGAGUGAAGAUUCUAGUUCCACCUACCUAUUGGCUCAGUGAUUUGGGGCAUGUUUCUUAUGCACAGACCCUCAGCUGCUCAUCUGUACAAUGAGGAUCAUACUCUCGAACUUCUAGAUGAGGGCAAGGAGCAAGUCGGCACACACAACGCAUCUGAAAGAGCACCAGACACAUCACAUGUGCUCAGUAUAAGUUAGCUGUUGUUAAUGUGUUUAGCAUCCUAAUUGUCGUGAGAACUGCCAAGAGACAUCUUUCUGAACCCACUGUUCUUUGGACAGAUUGAAAGAGGCAAACCACUCAGUCGUGGGAAAUAUGGUUCUGAGCUUGAGCACUCUUCUUUAUAAACCAACUUAGAAAAACAUUUAUGUUGAUUGCAUUAGAAAAACAAAGUUAGGAGUUCUUGUGGCUCAGCCAGUUAAGAACAUAGUCUCCCUGAGGAUGUGGGUUCGAUCUCUGGGCUCCCUUAGUGGGUUAAGGACCCCGUGUUGUCGCAAGUUGCGGUGGAAGUCACAGAUGAAAUCUGGAUCCACUGUGGCUGUGGCUGUGGUGUAAGCCAGCAGCUACAGUUCCCAGUCGACUCCUAGCCUGGGAACAUCCAUAUACAGCAGGUGCAGCCAUAAAAAGAAAAAAUAAAAGUUAAUUAAAUAUUGGACUUAAGGAAGAUAUUCCAAGAAAAUAAAAUUAUUAAAAUAUAUUACUUCUUUAUCAGGUAACACUAGGGUCCUAGGUAUAGCCAUCAGAAAGUAUAAGGUCUUUCAGAACUAAUGUAUGAAUGAAUUAUUCUACUAGAAUGUAGCAAAUGCAUUUAGAAUUAUCUUUAUAUUGACAAGUGUGAGGAGCCAUGGGAAGAGCGGUUGAAAUGGGGAAGAAGAGAUGAAAGUUAAUAGAAGAAUUUUUUUAACCACCUUGAUUCCAUUUGAAUCUUACUGGUAGCUACCUACACACUAUUACAAAACACUCAUAUCCUCAUACUUAUCCUUUGUCUUUUUGAUUUUCAUUUUUCCCUCGUGUGUAUUUUAUUUAAUUUUGUUUUAUUUUUUAUAAAUUUCUGCCGUACAGCAAAGUGUUCCAGUCAUACAUACCUAUAUACACAUUCUUUUUCUCAUACUAUCUUCCAUCAUGCUCCAUCACAAGAGAUUGGAUAUAGUUCCCUGUGCUGUACCGCAGGAUCUCAUUGUAUUUUAUUUCUCGGUGGUUUAUUAGUCUAAAUCUGGACAAGAACUGGGGAGAAGAAAGUUAGUCAUGGUUUUCAUGGAAGCGUGGACUUGUGAUGUUUUGUUAGCUACUUCUUUGGGCUCUUAGAAACUGAGCCCCAAACAGCACAUGCCAAGAGGGGUUCCUCAUAUUUUCAAGAGGAGCAAGUAUUUACCUUCUUGGACAUCUUGACAGCUAGCAGUCUUGGUUGAGAGAAACCAUCUUUUAAUUUGAAUCAGAAAUGCCGUGCGCAGCCGCAAGCUGGAGAGAACCCAGGGUCCUACCAGGGAGUUUUGCCAACGAGGUCAUGAAGGCAGAUAUGGCUAUAAGGUGCAUAUGUUUCAGUGCACCUUGAGUUCUGUAGACAUAGGUCUGUUGACAGUGGAAGCCCUUUGACAUUCUAAGAAGAUAAAUGACAUGAUGAAAACCGUUCUCUAAGAACAAAUAAAUAGUAGUCAGAAUUUCCUCCCCAUUCUCCUUUUCCUUCUCACUGUUCCCAGCAUUCUCCCUCUGUUGACUCCCUUUCCUCUCUCCGAAGCUCCUAAAUGAAGGGCGUUAUGAUGGAAAAUGCUAUAGCGACUUGGGAACUAGGGUAGAAAAAUAUGGUGGAAGCACAGGAAGAAUCCUAGAAUAAUUUCCAGCAAGGACUUUAUUUUUAUUUUAUUUUUAUUUUUUCCUCUUUU